rnacentral:rRNA from 1 species
UACGUAGGGCGCAAGCGUUGUCCGGAAUUAUUGGGCGUAAAGAGUUCGUAGGCGGCUUGUCACGUCGGAUGUGAAAGCCCGGGGCUUAACUCCGGAUCUGCAUUCGAUACGGGCUGGCUAGAGUGUGGUAGGGGAGAUCGGAAUUCCUGGUGUAGCGGUGAAAUGCGCAGAUAUCAGGAGGAACACCGGUGGCGAAGGCGGAUCUCUGGGCCAUUACUGACGCUGAGGAGCGAAAGCGUGGGGAGCAAACAGG